rnacentral:rRNA from 1 species
CACGUAGGGACCAAGCGUUGUCCGGAUUUAUUGGGCGUAAAGCGCUCGUAGGCGGUUUGGUAAGUCGGGUGUGAAACCUCCAGGCUCAACCUGGUGACGCCACCCGAUACUGCUAUGACUUGAGUUCGGUAGGGGAGCGGGGAAUUCCUGGUGUAGCGGUGAAAUGCGCAGAUAUCAGGAGGAACACCGGUGGCGAAGGCGCCGCUCUGGGCCGAAACUGACGCUGAGGAGCGAAAGCGUGGGGAGCGAACAGG